rnacentral:rRNA from 1 species
CCUACGGGUGGCAGCAGUCGAGAAUCAUUCACAAUGGGGGAAACCCUGAUGGUGCGACGCCGCGUGGGGGAAUGAAGGUCUUCGGAUUGUAAACCCCUGUCAUGUGGGAGCAAAUUAAAAAGAUAGUACCACAAGAGGAAGAGACGGCUAACUCUGUGCCAGCAGCCGCGGUAAUACAGAGGUCUCAAGCGUUAUUCGGAAUCACUGGGCGUAAGGCGUGAGUAGGCUGUUUCGUAAGUCGUGUGUGAAAGGCGCGGGCUCAACCCGCGGACGGCACAUGAUACUGCGAGACUAGAGUAAUGGAGGGGGAACCGGAAUUCUCGGUGUAGCAGUGAAAGGCGGAGAUAUCGAGAGGAACACUCGUGGCGAAGGCGGGUUCCUGGACAUUAACUGACGCUGAGGCACGAAGGCCAGGGGAGCGAAAGGGAUUAGAUACCCGAGUAGUC